GUGACCACAAUUUAACGGCCGCGGUACCCUAACCGUGCGAAGGUAGCAUAAUCACUUGUUUCCUAAAUAGAGACUAGUAUCAACGGCAUCACGAAGACUACACUGUCUCCCCCCUAAAAUCAAUGAAACUAAUCUCCUCGUGAAGAAGCGAGGAUGAACAUAUAAGACGAGAAGACCCCAUGGAGCUUUAAACAAACUUCAAUUGCUUUCCCCCCCCCCCCACCAAAAAAAUUAA
rnacentral:rRNA from 1 species